UACGUAGGGUGCAAGCGUUGUCCGGAAUUAUUGGGCGUAAAGAGCUCGUAGGCGGUCUGUCACGUCGGCUGUGAAAACUCGGGGCUCAACCCCGAGCCUGCAGUCGAUACGGGCAGACUAGAGUCCGGCAGGGGAGACUGGAAUUCCUGGUGUAGCGGUGAAAUGCGCAGAUAUCAGGAGGAACACCGGUGGCGAAGGCGGGUCUCGUGGGCAAUAACUGACGCUGAGGAGCGAAAGCGUGGGGAGCGAACAGG
rnacentral:rRNA from 1 species